GUUGACCUCGGAUCAGGUAGGGAUACCCGCUGAACUUAAGCAUAUCAAUAAGCGGAGGAAAAGAAACCAACAGGGAUUGCUCUAGUAACGGCGAGUGAAGCAGCAAUAGCUCAAAUUUGAAAUCUGGCGUCUUCGACGUCCGAGUUGUAAUUUGUAGAGGAUGCUUCUGAGUGGCCACCGACCUAAGUUCCUUGGAACAGGACGUCAUAGAGGGUGAGAAUCCC
rnacentral:rRNA from 1 species